rnacentral:rRNA from 1 species
GACGAACGCUGGCGGCGUGCUUAACACAUGCAAGUCGAGCGGUAAGGCCCUUUCGGGGGUACACGAGCGGCGAACGGGUGAGUAACACGCGGGUGACCUGCCCUCAGCUCUGGGAUAAGCCCGGGAAACUGGGUCUAAUACUGGAUAUUACUCUGCGGUGCAUGCCGUGGGGUGGAAAGCCUUGUGCGGCUAGGGAUGGGCCCGCGGCCUAUCAGCUUGUUGGUGGGGUGAUGGCCACCAAGGCGACGACGGGUAGCCGGCCUGAGAGGGCGACCGGCCACACUGGGACUGAGACACGGCCCAGACUCCUACGGGAGGCAGCAGUGGGGAAUCUUGCGCAAUGGGCGAAAGCCUGACGCAGCGACGCCGCGUGAGGGAUGACGGCC